ensembl:lncRNA
AUUCCUUAGAACUAAAUCACAACGCAGCUGUAAGGGACUGCUGCACCUCACAGAGUUAACAGAAAAUCUUUGGAGUGUUUUGUCUGCUAAGUUCAAAGAGAUCAGGGCAAGAGACACACGACUUCACCGCUGAUUUAUCUUGGGUCAGUGGGAAUAAUAUUCAUCCCUAAUAUCCAUCCUAACAGCACACGGCUGUGUAUCAUCUCAGGAAACAGAUACAGGAAGUACAAACCCUGAGGUGUUAAGCUUCUACAAAGUGCUUAUUUUAAUUUUCCAAAGAAUGAACAAACAACGACAACAGAAGAGAUAAUGCACAUGGUCCUCCACAACUGUCAAGUUUCAGACUGUCAGGGAUGCUGACAAAAUCAUUUUUGCUCUCAGAAGAAUAUUUAAUAUUUAAUAUGAAACAUGAAUAUUUAAUAUUCCAAGCCAACAACUGAAGGAGCAAUAAAUAGCUAUGUGAUCUGUCCAGAAUUCAAGAAUCUACCUUGACAAACAGCAUGUGUUUGAAGCAUUCCUCUCUCUUCAUACAGUAUCAUUCUGAUGUGCUUCUGCUGAUAAGCCUCCCUGUCUGUCUGAGACAAAAGCUGCUUUUGAAGCACCUGUUACCAUACUGUAGCCACAAUGUUUGUAGUCACAAGAGAAAUAAAAAGUUUGCUUCCCACAGAGUAGUAUUGUUCUUACAAAGUCAGAUCAGAUUCAUAUCUGCAGUGUAUAACUGCAGUGUAUAACUGCAUCAACACAAGUCGCAGCAGGAAAUUAAUUUCCCAAAUUGAGACCAUUUCCUAUUGGCCAAAGAGAAGUAUAAGGACUAAAAGAAGGACUGGAAUUUCAUAUAUUCACUUGUUUGGUUUUUUUUUUUUUUUUUUUUUUUUUUUUUAAGAUGAGGGAGGGCAAGGACAGGACUCACUGAGCAGGCAGAAUUACACAGACAUGAUAGAAACAUGGCACAUAAUGUCUAUGUAUGUAUAUGCCAUCACAUACAUGUAUGCAUUUAUGUAUACUACUGUGUGUCUGUGGUAAGGCUAUUCCAAUUCUGACCUCUCUCUCACCUUGACUUCUGAGGGACAAAAACUGGGACAACUCAAGCUCUGCCUUUCAAUGCCUGUUUUCAAUGCAGUCAUUGUUUGCUUCACCUGGCUGGUUUAUCUGUGAGAAUGCAGAAAGCCUGAAGCACGGAGUUCUGGAAAACAAAGAGAGAGAUUUGAUGCAGAGAUAACAUCAACUGCUCACAGCUUCAGUAUUUUAGGCACAACACACUGAUUUUCACUGGAUGCAAAUCCUUGAGUAUCUGGUAAAAGAUGCUUUCUCAGAGACAGCGCCAUGUCCUGUGCACCAGUUUGCUGAAUUUGGUCUCUUAAGAUUACAGAAACCAACCAAACAUCUGCCUCUGUGGAUCUCUUUUUCUGAGUGCAUGAGUUAGCGAUUCCCAGCCUGUUAUUGCUCAAUCCCUACAGUGCAGGAAACCAAACCCUCUGAUUAAUACAAUUGUGAGAAACUGAGAAAGUCUGUGGUGUGAACCCACCUCUAUUUCAGACUUCUAAUAGCAACCAAAGAGCUCCUGGAAACAAGUUAUUUAACCAAGCGGUUCCAAGAGUAGGGACAUAUUUUCUGAGAUAAAUCAGUUUUUGGAACAUUCUACACUGCAAUUUACAUUCCAGGGUCACGGAGUGCUCCUACCCCAUCAUUACAUAGCUCAAUCCUAACUACUGAGACCAUGCAAUCAGCAUGUCUUCUGAAAAAAAUCAUAUUCACUAAGAGGAGCACUCUGUAGAAAGGCAAAACUUACUGAGACUUACUUAGAAAUAAGAGAUAAAUCCUGACACAGUCAUGAAGUACUCUUAUCAAAGCGAAGGCAAGGCACAGUCUAAUCUGGCAGUUCUGAGGGUGUUGGAAGAUAUUCUCAGGGUGCUCACCAUGGGGGAGGAAGCCUGUAAGAGCUAUCUCAGGUUCUUGAAUUUGCUGGAGAAGUUCACUGUGUGUAACGCUGCUGACUUUGUUUGAUUCCAAGUAUCCACCAGCAACUGAGAAAGGCUGCAGUCUGCAGUCUGUCACCGAGAUAUGCUACAAGUAAGUUAUCUUCAGUGCCAUUCUCUGCAGAAACUUAUGCAUAUUUGUGUUUUACACACACCGCAGUCAUAGUCACUUGUCUCACUGUUAACCAUCUGACCCUUUAACCAGGCUACAAACUCUUAGGACUCUGUUUGGAGUAAUAGCUAUACCCUUCAUGUUAGAUCCACUUUCAGUAAACCCAGUAGAAGCAGUGCUGUGCUGACUGCCUGAUUGUUUUGGCACAGCCUAUGCUGACAAUUUGCUAAUUUGUCUCUCAUUGCUACUAACUUCAACCACGUACUGGAGAUUUACACUCAUUUGGCAAGAUUUUUUCAAAUAUUUUUCUUUCUCAGGUCAGUACGUUUUCUAACAGUGGAAAAAAUAUUAUUAAACAUGUUCCCACUAUUUAAAAAGAUUGAGGGAAGUUAAUUUACUUUCCCAUUUUAACCUAUUUCUACUUUAACAUACCAAUUGCUGUGUGGAUCCAGUAUCUUUAGAAUUAGUGGGGAAAAAAAAAGUAAAAGGUAGUGCCUUUUACCGUUCUUCCAGUACGGUGCCUGGAAGAACAAAAUUCAACCGACCUCAAGAGAGCCAACAUGGUGCCUCUGGAUCCCCAUUUCUGACCUGCUGACUCUCGUGCUCCUCCUUCUAACAGCAGCAGGCACAGCUCAGGCACAGCGCUCUGCACAGCUCCCUGCAGACACCCAUGCUUUCAAAGGGAGCUUUGGGAAUUCGGGAUGUAAUUCCAAAGAUAUUUCCCUUUGAUAGAGAAAAGUUGUCUUUGCAGACACCUUCCCGGCUCCUGAAGAUUACGGCUACAGAAAGACAGAAACCAGAAGACAGGAUACAUUUGCUAAUAAUCACUUGAAGCACUUUGAUGCUUAACAUCCUUGCGUGGAAGCCCACGGAAGUGUAGCUUAGGCCUGGGUAGCAAUAGCAGCCAAUACUGCCCAUUUCCUUACUCGGGUGUCCAACAGAAACAUGUGCAGAACCGGUUGCACAGCGGAAUUUUUUGAAGACCUGACGUUCGCGCUGUGAACACGGCAGAUUUGUGCACGUCUCAGGCUGACCCCAAAGACAUUUCCCGUCCGUCCCUGGGCCGCUGCCACCCCCGUCGGGGCCCGGGCCCUGCGGCGCU